rnacentral:lncRNA from 1 species
GUUGACGCGUACGUUAGGGCAUGGCCCUGAGCCAAUGAUAUAAGUCUACAGAUUGCUUGAAAGCAAUCAUAUCCCAAAAAAUGAAUGUAAAGGAGCAAACAGUUUUAGUGUUUUUACGGAUUGAAAUCCCACAAUCAUGGAAUGGACAAACAGUCGUAAAGGGUUGUGUGUGACCCUGUGUAUCUACUGAGAUUGCUGCUAUCAGUGUAAAAGUGUUAUGUUCAAUGCCAACAAUAGAUAAAUUAAAACUGUCAAUCAGUAAAAAUACAGUUUUCCUUAAAUUGUUUUUUUUACUUUAGAUGUGACCUGCAAUGAAAGAACAAAAGUGAAAUGUCACUCCUGCUUUACUUAUGGUUGAAUUGCUGUUGAAAGUCUAAAAUAUGGAGGUAAAGCUACAAUUAUCACAUAGACUUAAAACUGACGAUUCAUGAAAACAAGGUCAAGGUGAUAUAAUCUAUGCCGGCCUGGCAGAUAUGUAUACCUUGCAAUCAUUCAAUACACCAAAUAAAGCAGUCCUUUUGAUCACAGUAUCUGAGAAAUGGACCAAACCGCAAAAAGUUUUUGACAACAGAGCUAUUGAAUGAGGCAAAGGUAAGCUUAAACCUGCCAGAUAGACACAGAGGAGAAUCCAAGUAUCGUAAUUAAAAAUCUGUGAAGAUAUAACGCUGAGAGAAGGAAUAUCUUUUUUUAUAAUUGCAAGCUUAAAAGUCAUAUAGAUCAAAAGAAACAUGAUAUUUUGUUUUUAAGACGAUUACAAAAGGGGGAGAGGGGCAUUGGAUCGGCCACUGGAAAUAUACGCCUCAAUCAAUACUCAAAACAAAGCAGCUCUAUUGCUUGAAGUUUUUGAAAAAUAGACCAAACCACAAAAACAAAACAUGUCCAAUGAAACAUGAGAAUGAGGUCAAGGUCAGAUGAAACCUGCAGUCAGACAUGUAGACCUUACAAUCAUCCCAUACCCCAAAUACAGUUGAUCCAUUGCUUAUAGUAUCUGAGAUACAGACUUGUUUAAUUAAACUAAACCAUGUUUACUGAUCCGAGAAAUGAGCUCAUGGCCAGGUGAACUCUGUCAAACAGAAAUAUAGACCUUGCAAGACCCAUAUAAUAAACAUAGUUAUCAUAUACUUAAACUAAAUAACAUAUGAUUUUUACAGUAUGAUAAUAGCAUUAAAUUAACGUAAACUUCAUAUUUUUCGAAUUGGUGCCUAGAGGCUGAUAUGAAAAGUUUAUCACAUGCUUUGACUGUUAAUUAUUACAUGCCUUUCCGUAACGUUCUCGCAUGGCAUUCCUGUGAUACUCUACAAAUUCCGGAAAUACACCUCCAUGCUACGUUUUCAGUGAAAAACAUUACAAAGUAGUGUACAAAGCAAUUAUUUUGAUACUGGGAAAUAUAUGUAAAAUAAUAAAAAAAAAAAUUUUUUUUUUUUAAAUAAAUGCAUUUCUU